rnacentral:lncRNA from 1 species
GGCCCUUCUGACCAUUGGAUUGGCCUAAGAAGAGAAUCAUCCCAUCGCAUUUGGAAAUGGACAGACAACAUGGAAUAUAAUAACAUGCUUGCUAUCAGAGGAGGUGGAGAAUGUGCCUUCCUGAAUGACAAUGGAGUCAACAGUGGCAGAAUCUACAUGAACAGAAAAUGGAUUUGUAGCAAGCCAAACAAUUAUGUCUACAGUUGCCAGUUAUGUCCCCACUGGGAUACUACCUAGUAGAGCUGUGAGAAGAGGGCCACCAUCCUCCAGACUCCAGAAUGGUGGAAUCAUCAGCAGCUUCCACCAUGCCCCUGGAAAAACUGCAAGUAACAGACCUGCACAUGUAUCCCCUACAUCUAAAAUAAAAGUUGGAAAAAAUGGAACUUUAAUGUUAAGAUGCACUGAUACAAAACUUAAAUUUUGGUCUACUACAUUAAAACAAUAUGAGUCUCUUAAAAUAUUGAUUUGUUC